rnacentral:tRNA from 1 species
CACUGCUUAGCUUAAUUGGUUAAAGCGCGGUCUUGAUAAGGCCGAGAGUACAGGUUCAAGUCCUGUAGUAGUGA